rnacentral:rRNA from 1 species
AGGGGAGCGUCGAGUUGCCGGAGAAGCUGCCGUGUGAACGAGUGGUGGAGGCGAUUCGAGUGAGAAUGCAGGCAUGAGUAGCGAAAGACGGGUGAGAAACCCGUCCACCGGAUGACCAAGGGUUCCAGGGCUAGGCUAAUCCGCCCUGGGUAAGUCGGGACCUAAGGCGAGGCCGACAGGCGUAGUCGAUGGACAUCCGGUUGAUAUUCCGGAACCGGCGAAGAACCGACCC